AUUACUGCGACAGCAUAGCAAUUAAUCAAAUUUCUUGGUAUAAUCUAUCCUGCCUGGACCAAAUAGGAACGUAGCCAUGCAGAGCGUACGCGAAUCCAGGAACUGAGAUGACCAAGGAAGUAGGUACUAACUACUUGUACUAUUGUUUAAUCGAAAGCUAAUUUGUUUUAGCAGAUCAUAAAAAAGAAAGAAUCAAUAAAAGUGGAGGAAAUGAAAUAGAUCGGUUAACGCUAUCUCUCAGGGAGAAGCCAAUUCAAUAUUCAAUUGAAGUCAAAAGAAAAGGAGAGCCCCAUUAAUUGUCUUUUUUAUUCGUCUCACUAGUGUCAGGAUUGAGAGUGCUAGGAAAAUUCUAAGCCCAUAAUUGUCUUUUAUGUACUAACUACUUCCUAAUAUGUUUUGUCGGAGAACUCCAAAAGUGCUUCUCCUUGGGGGACAUGUACCACCUGACGAGUGAAGACGCUCAGACAAGCAUGAGCGGAGCCAGCCACAAAUGGAAAAGGCACGCAUUCACUCUCCAUCUUCGCUUGCAGUUCAGGCCUGAUCAGCUAAGUUGGCGAAUUUAAGCGUGCAAGUUGUCACUGAUUUGGUGUCAUUCCUGGGGUCAAUGCCAGGCUAUGACGAGGAAUGAUGAAGAUUAUGGGCCUUAUUAUCUCUGACAUCCCCACGUAAGAUUUGUUAAUCUACUUCUGUAGAGGGUAGACGACUUCUGGUUAAGAAAAGCGCACUCGAGCACCUUUGCAUUAACUGCUAGGGAAUUCUAUCCUACAACCUACACCGGUACACCUCAACAAUAAACUUAAAAAGUUCUUGUAUGUGCUCAAGUAACCUGAAGAAGUGUAUUUUUUUUUCUUUUUUUAAAUAAGAGACUUGAAUUCAAAAUUUUCUAAAAAGUUAGUAGUUAACUUGUUGUCUAUAUGCCCUUGUGGGGUUGCCAUUCCACAUCG
rnacentral:lncRNA from 1 species